rnacentral:misc_RNA from 1 species
CAACCCUCAAGCCUAGCUUGGUAUUGGGUGUCACCGGCACGGUGCGCCUUAAAAUCAGUGGCGGUGCCAUCUGGCUUCAAGCGUAGUAAUACUUCUCGCUCUGGAUCCCGGGUGGUUACUUGCCAACAACCCCAUAUUUUUUAA